rnacentral:ribozyme from 14 species
UCUUUUAUAUCUUCUUCUUUGUUGUCUUCUUCUUCUUCUUCUUCUUCUUAAUGUAUUUUACUCCUACUCCAACAUUUGAGGAUGGCGGCGAUGAUAUCCUUCUUCCAGAGUAGAGUGGUAAAAAUAGAACAACAACUCUUUUUUAUUGCGUA